rnacentral:rRNA from 1 species
GACGAACGCUGGCGGCGUGCCUAAUACAUGCCAGUAGAACGCUGAAGGAGGAGCUUGCUCUUCUGGAUGAGUUGCGAACGGGUGAGUAACGCGUAGGUAACCUGCCUGGUAGCGGGGGAUAACUAUUGGAAACGAUAGCUAAUACCGCAUAAGAGUAGAUGUUGCAUGACAUUUACUUAAAAGGUGCAAUUGCAUCACUACCAGAUGGACCUGCGUUGUAUUAGCUAGUUGGUGGGGUAACGGCUUACCAAGGCGACGAUACAUAGCCGACCUGAGAGGGUGAUCGGCCACACUGGGACUGAGACACGGCCCAGACUCCUACGGGAGGCAGCAGUAGGGAAUCUUCGGCAAUGGACGGAAGUCUGACCGAGCAACGCCGCGUGAGUGAAGAAGGGUUUCGGAUCGUAAAGCUCGGUUGUAAGAGAAGAACGAGUGUGAGAGUGGAAAGUUCACACUGUGACGGUAUCUUACCAGAAAGGGACGGCUAACUACGUG